rnacentral:rRNA from 1 species
UACGUAGGGUGCAAGCGUUAAUCGGAAUUACUGGGCGUAAAGCGUGCGCAGGCGGUUUUGUAAGUUUGUCGUGAAAGCCCCGGCUCAACCUGGGAAUUGCGAUGAAGACUGCAAGGCUUGAAUCUGGCAGAGGGGGGUAGAAUUCCACGUGUAGCAGUGAAAUGCGUAGAGAUGUGGAGGAACACCGAUGGCGAAGGCAGCCCCCUGGGUCAAGAUUGACGCUCAUGCACGAAAGCGUGGGAGCAAACAGG